rnacentral:rRNA from 1 species
GAUGAACGCUGGCGGCGUGCCUAAUACAUGCAAGUCGAGCGAACGGACGAGAAGCUUGCUUUUCUGAUGUUAGCGGCGGACGGGUGAGUAACACGUGGAUAACCUACCUAUAAGACUGGGAUAACUUCGGGAAACCGGAGCUAAUACCGGAUUAUAUUUUGAACCGCAUGGUUCAAAAGUGAAAGACGGUCUUGCUGUCACUUAUAGAUGGAUCCGCGCUGCAUUAGCUAGUUGGUAAGGUAACGGCUUACCAAGGCAACGAUGCAUAGCCGACCUGAGAGGGUGAUCGGCCACACUGGAACUGAGACACGGUCCAGACUCCUACGGGAGGCAGCAGUAGGGAAUCUUCCGCAAUGGGCGAAAGCCUGACGGAGCAACGCCGCGUGAGUGAUGAAGGUCUUCGGAUCGUAAAACUCUGUUAUUAGGGAAGAACAUAUGUGUAAGUAACUGUGCACAUCUUGACGGUACCUAAUCAGAAAGCCACGGCUAACUACGUG